rnacentral:lncRNA from 1 species
UGACCCGUUCUUAAAAUAUACUUCCCACCUGAUUAUUCUUAUUUUUAUAGCUAUUUGGCAAGGUUUAGAAGACAGAAUGGGAGCUAAAAAUUGAUAAAUGAUGAUCCAUUAUUGAACAAGCUUAUAUCGAGUAAUUAUUGUACAAAUACUACAGAUUUGCGAUAUUCAUGCAUACCAGAAAAGAGCUACUACUCCUUGGAGAAUGAGGUUGACCUAGUUGCAUUUGACAAGGUUGACUGCUAUGUGACCAAAGAGGACCUAAUAAAUCAUGGCAUUUGAAGAACAUCCUGAGUUCACAGGUUUUCUUUAUUCUGACAUAUGGAAAACAGCUUUUAACUACUAGUGAAUAAUCGAUUUUUCAUUACAAUUUUAUUAACA